CCCCACCCUCAUUUUAGGGUUAGCAGCCAAGGGAGCAGCGUUUCUCUGAAGAGAGGAUGUAUUCCUCUAGAGCUGUCACUGGCUGUUGGAAGGGCUUCCUGAGGUUCCUGCUGCACUGUUUGCUCUCUUGGGUUAGAAAGGCCACAAGCUGUUUCUGCUCUCAGUGGAAUUCCAAGGGGUGUGCGUUAUAAUCAAGUGGCACAAAGACAUUUCAAUUGGUGCAGUUUCCAGCAAGUUCACAGUGAACAAUAGGAUACAUGGCCAGCUGGGAUUUACUAGACACUUCCAAAACAUCGUUAUUUCCAGUUUGAAAUGCUAUCCACUGUGAAGUCAAAUCCCUGCAGUGAGACUGCUGAGACUUUACACUCUGCCAGAGUAAAGGCGCUGCCCUGAUCGCAUGCAGUCCAACUGGAGCCAUGUCUGGGAGAGGAAACUGAACAGAGACAGGGCGGGUUGGAAACUCUGUCCUGGUCACUGUGUUCACGGCUGCUAUAAAAAGACUUGAGUCAAUCGUGAAUUUUGUCAGAACAUUCUAAUACAGAUAGAAGGAGAAGGUCACUUUGAAAAUAGCUCCUAUUUAUUUGUCUGUCGUUGCUCAUAAGAAAUUAAGUACAUGCACCAGAUGCUAGAUUGGCUGUGCCCUUUGUUCGUAACACAGGCAAUUAAAACAAAAAGAAGAAUACCCAAGUGGUAUAGUUUUAAUAAUCUUGAAGAUUAGCUACUAAUCCCAAAUAAGAAUGAAUUUUCCAUCAGAGUGACUUGUAGAUCUCUGUCACUAUAAAUCUUGCCUAGUGAAGUCCAUUACCCUAAGGAAUAUUCAUGGACUACAGAAAAAAGCCAGGAUCAUUGAUUGGAAAAAAUAAAGGUAAAACAUUGUCUGGAAGGUGCUGUGUUGGUGACUUGUAGGUGCACACAAAACUCAGCCCUGCUUCUAUUCUUAUAUGAAAGGUGAACAGCUUUGAGAAGUUAAGCAUCCAUCCACCAUCAUUUCUAUUUACUUCUAUUGAAGUCAUGGAAUACUUAGAGUUGGAAGGGACCUUUAAAGGCUGGCUAGUCCAACUCUCCUACACUGAUCAGGGAUGUCCAUGAGUAGACCAAGUUGCCCAGGGCCUGAUUCAGCCUGGCCUCAACGGUGCAUCAACCACAUGUCUGGGCAACUUGUUCCAGUGCCUCACCGCCCUUAGUGUAAAAGUAUUUUUCCUUAUAUCCAACCUCAGUCU